rnacentral:rRNA from 1 species
CCUACGGGAGGCAGCAGUGGGGAAUAUUGCACAAUGGGGGAAACCCUGAUGCAGCGACGCCGCGUGAGUGAAGAAGUAUUUCGGUAUGUAAAGCUCUAUCAGCAGGGACGAAGAAAGACGGUACCUGACUAAGAAGCCCCGGCUAACUACGUGCCAGCAGCCGCGGUAAUACGUAGGGGGCAAGCGUUAUCCGGAUUUACUGGGUGGAAAGGGAGCGUAGACGGCUGUGCAAGUCUGAAGUGAAAGCCCAGGGCUCAACCCUGGGACUGCUUUGGAAACUGUGGAGCUAGAGUGCUGGAGAGGUAAGUGGAAUUCCUAGUGUAGCGGUGAAAUGCGUAGAUAUUAGGAGGAACACCAGUGGCGAAGGCGGCUUACUGGACAGUAACUGACGUUGAGGCUCGAAAGCGUGGGGAGCAAACAGGAUUAGAUACCCCAGUAGUC